rnacentral:rRNA from 1 species
UAAGGAAUAUUGGGCAAUGGUCGGAAGACUGACCCAGCCAUGCCGCGUGCAGGAAGACGGCCCUAUGGGUUGUAAACUGCUUUUGUCGGGGAAUAAACCUGCCCACGUGUGGGCAGCUGAAGGUACCCGGCGAAUAAGCAUCGGCUAACUCCGUGCCAGCAGCCGCGGUAAUACGGAGGAUGCAAGCGUUAUCCGGAUUCACUGGGUUUAAAGGGUGCGCAGGCGGGAUGAUAAGUCAGAGGUGAAAUCCUACGGCUCAACUGUAGAACUGCCUUUGAUACUGUCGUUCUUGAGUAAAGUUGGAGUGGGCGGAAUGUGUUGUGUAGCGGUGAAAUGCUUAGAUAUAACACAGAACACCGAUCGCGAAGGCAGCUCACUAAGCUUUAACUGACGCUCAUGCACGAAAGCGUGGGGAUCAAACA